GAUGAAGAACGCAGCAAAAUGCGAUAAGUAAUGUGAAUUGCAGAAUUCAGUGAAUCAUCGAAUCUUUGAACGCACAUUGCGCCCGCCAGUAUUCUGGCGGGCAUGCCUGUCCGAGCGUCAUUUCAACCCUCGAACCCCUCCGGGGGGUCGGCGUUGGGGACCUCGGGAGCCCCUAAGACGGGAUCCCGGCCCCGAAAUACAGUGGCGGUCUCGCCGCAGCCUCUCCUGCGCAGUAGUUUGCACAACUCGCACCGGGAGCGCGGCGCGUCCACGUCCGUAAAACACCCAACUUCUGAAAUGUUGACCUCGGAUCAGGUAGGAAUACCCGCUGAACUUAAGCAUAUCAAUAAGCGGAGGA
rnacentral:misc_RNA from 1 species